UGUUGUUUGCUUCGUUAGUUACUCCGUUAUGCUGUGUAUUAGUCUCAUGACGCAGUUUCGUUUUAAAGAGGAGUUCUACUUUCUAUUGUAAGGUAAAAUAGUUGUGCCGGCAGUUUCACCAGUCGCUGCCAGCUUUGUUGAUGUAUCUGUGAUUUACCUUUACAGUAGUAUUGGAGAGUGAAGACCUUAUUAAAGGACGGGAACCUGAAGGAUCGGAAUAAAGUUGGAGUCGUUUGGCGGUUUUAUAGAGGAUCGACUUUAUCGAGCAUUAAUUCAGAAAUGGUGACCUGUAUCUGAGAUAACUCCUGCAAGAGCAGGGAAGUUUGUGCAGUGUCCCCUCGCCAGGAAAAGAGAUACAACACAGUAACAGACCAUUCUGGCCGACCAAGCUCAUGCCACCCAAUGGCACUCAGGGGAUAAAUUAACCUAUGAACCUGUACGUCCCUGGAAAGUGGGAGGAACUGGAACUCCUGGAGGAAUCCACACAGUCACUGUCUGUAAGAACAUACAACUCCUUACUGACCGCAGCGAAACAGAGCCUGAGCUGCUGGCGCUGUAAUGGCAUUAUGCUACCCGCCAUGCUGCCAUGCCAUUCUAAAGAAAACAAGUGCUGGCAUAUUCUGGCUGGGCCCGUGACUUCAAAGUUCAAAGUAUAUUUAUUGAGUACACCCACAAGAAAAUGAAUCUCAGGGAAAUGGUUCUCGGGAGGAGAAGAGAAGCAGCGCGCCGCGCGAGCGCAGCCCUCCGGUGAAAAAUGAUAUUAUAUCUGUUAAAUAGGGCCGUGGACAAUUCUGAUUUGAUGGAGAUGGACGUGAAAGCACAGAGGAACAUCUGGAAAAAUUUCUGAAAAGCUUGUUCGCUGCUGUUAUUACUGCACGGUCGGGAAUCUUUCGGAGGGUAGGCCUCAAAAUCCCCGGCUUUGCCUGCUGUUGGUGACCGAGAUUGAGCUUGAAUCAUUCGGACAGAGAUGGCGCUCAGUACUCGGUGUCGGAGAGCUGAUCAGAGCUCGAAGUUUUCGGAUGACUCAGAGUCGGACCGUGGUCGGGUAUGGCAGGGAGAGUUUUUCUUCCUUCUCUCUGUCUGUGUGAGAUGUGGGAUAUUUGAGAGACUUUGAAAUUUUUACUGUGCUCAUGGACUUCUUCAUCAAGUUAUGGUAUUGUUGCACUGUUGUAACUAUAUGUUAUAAUUAUGUGGUUUUGUUAGUUUUUUUUUCAAGUCUUGGUCUGUCCUGUGUUUUGUGAUAUCACACCGGAGGAAAUAUUGUAUCAUUUCUUAAUGCAUGCAUUACUAAAUGACAAUAAAAGAGGACUGUCUUCAUAAUCUAUAUGGUGCCGUAUAUGUACAUUAUAAUAAAAUUUAUUUUGAACCUUUAAACCAAGUGGCAGCAAGUUAUACCAAGAAUUUGUAACAUAAUAAUAAA